GUACUGGCGUGACCACCCAGGACAUCUGCAGCUCUCCAGGAUUUCGGGAGCAUGGAGGUAACGACCAGACUCCAGUCCUGUACCUCAACAGUUCCAGUGCCCGAGAAGGGGAAACACUUUUGGUUCAUUGUGUCAUUGAUUGGCAGUUUCCUGCUACACGAGUUGUCUUCUGCAAGAAUGGGCUGGAGGAGUUCAGCCUGAAAGCCCAGCAGGGCAGGCUCAUCUACGCUCUGGUCCUGAACAUCACCUCCAGAAGUGCUGGGACGUACACGUGUGGGUACCAGCAAAAGAACAAGGAAAACAACGUGAAGAACUCUGCUCUCAGUGCUCCCCGGACCUUGUCUGUGGCAGCCGCAUAUCCCCGGAUCCUGCACACCCUCCCCACAGGCACAGUGCUGGCAGUGGCGGCCGUCGGCCUCGUCCUCCUGGCUGCAGGCAGCUGGUUUGCCAUCAGGAAACGUG